AUUGAACGCUGGCGGCAGGCCUAACACAUGCAAGUCGAACGAGUGGCGGACGGGUGAGUAAUGUCUGGGAAACUGCCUGAUGGAGGGGGAACACAACUGAAAACGGUAGCUACUACCGCCUACAAUCAGUUGUGCCAUGAUGGGAUUAGCUAGUUGGUGGGGCAACGGCGCACCAAGGCGACGAUCCCUAGCUGGUCUGAGAGGAUGACGAUCCACUCUGUAACUGAGACACGGUCCAGACUCCUACGGGAGGCAGCAGUGGGGAAUAUUGCACAAGUGGCGAAAGCCUGAUCCAGCCAUGCCGCGUGUGUGAAGAAGGUCUUCGGAUUGUAAAGCCCGUUAAGUUGGGAGGCGUUACCAACAGAAUAAGCACCGGCUAACUUCGUGCCAGCAGCCGCGGUAAUAC
rnacentral:rRNA from 1 species